rnacentral:rRNA from 1 species
UUUCCAGACCUUCCUGGAGGAGCUUGCUAUCUAACCGAUAACCCACGAAAAACCUCACCAGCUUUUGAAAAAACAACCUGUAUACCAUCGUCGUCAGUCUACCCCUUAAGGAAAGUAUACUAAAUGACAAUCUUCAUUACGCCAGAUCGAGGUGCAGUUAAUAAGCUGGGGAUUAGUGAGCUACAAUAUUUCCACAAAUCCAAAACAAACCCUAUUAUGAACAAGCCUGUGAAAAAAGGCUUUAAAACAGGAUUCAGAAGUAAUACCUAUCAGAAAAUAGAUAUGAAACAUCCAAGCUCUGGAAUGCGC